rnacentral:rRNA from 1 species
ACGCUGGCGGCGUGCUUAACACAUGCAAGUCGAACGCGAAAGGGACUUCGGUCCUGAGUAAAGUGGCGCACGGGUGAGUAACGCGUAGAUAACCUGUCUUCAUGUCUGGAAUAAUACGCCGAAAGGGGUACUAAUACCGGAUAUUCUUUGCUUUUCAUAAGUUAUGCAAGCAAAGGUGGCCUCUGCAUAUGCUACUGCAUGAAGAGGGGUCUGCGUACCAUUAGCUAGUAGGUGGGGUAAUGGCCUACCUAGGCGACGAUGGUUAGCGGGUCUGAGAGGAUGAUCCGCCACACUGGCACUGGAACACGGGCCAGACUCCUACGGGAGGCAGCAGUGAGGAAUAUUGCGCAAUGGGGGAAACCCUGACGCAGCGACGCCGCGUGAGUGAAGGAAGGCCUUCGGGUCGUAAAGCUCUGUCAAGAGGAAAGAAGUGUACAAUGGCUAAUACCUGUUGUAUUUGACGGUACCUCUAAAGGAAGCACCGGCUAACUCCGUGCCAGCAGCCGC